UAAGGUUGAUUAUAUAGGCAACGGCCUAUUUGGUGACCACUCAACCCAAAAUACACUUAGAUACUAGUAAAUAAAAUAUUCUGCAAAAAUCUAGGGUUCAAAUAUGAAAAUAUCCCAAAAGUGUUGUCCAAGGGAAUCAACUCUUUUCUUCCACUCCAAGUUGCGUAGUCAGACAUGAGAAUUCUUCUCGUCCCGAUGUCGUGCAAAAUCUUCCUAAUUCCAUCGUGUCGUCGUG
rnacentral:lncRNA from 1 species